AGAACGAACGCUGGCGGCAUGCCUAAUACAUGCAAGUCGAACGAGACCUUCGGGUCUAGUGGCGCACGGGUGCGUAACGCGUGGGAAUCUACCCUUGGGUUCGGAAUAACAGUUGGAAACGACUGCUAAUACCGGAUGAUGACGAAAGUCCAAAGAUUUAUCGCCCAGGGAUGAGCCCGCGUAGGAUUAGCUAGUUGGUGAGGUAAAGGCUCACCAAGGCUACGAUCCUUAGCUGGUCUGAGAGGAUGAUCAGCCACACUGGGACUGAG
rnacentral:rRNA from 1 species